ACGGGGGAGAACCAACAGGGAUUGCCCCAGUAACGGCGAGUGAAGCGGCAACAGCUCAAAUUUGAAAUCUGGCCCCCGGGUCCGAGUUGUAAUUUGCAGAGGAUGCUUCGGGCGAGGUGCCUUCCGAGUUCCCUGGAACGGGACGCCACAGAGGGUGAGAGCCCCGUCUGGUCGGACACCGAGCCCGUGUGAAGCUCCUUCGAAGAGUCGAGUAGUUUGGGAAUGCUGCUCAAAAUGGGAGGUAUAUGUCUUCUAAAGCUAAAUAUUGGCCAGAGACCGAUAGCGCACAAGUAGAGUGAUCGAAAGAUGAAAAGCACUUUGAAAAGAGGGUUAAAAAGUACGUGAAAUUGUUGAAAGGGAAGCGCCCAUGACCAGACUUGGGCCCGGUGAAUCACCCGGCGUUCUCGCCGGUGCACUUUGCCGGGCACAGGCCAGCAUCAGUUUGGCGCGGGGGACAAAGGCUUCGGGAACGUGGCUCCCUCGGGAGUGUUAUAGCCCGCUGCGUAAUACCCUGCGCCGGACUGAGGUACGCGCAUCGCAAGGAUGCUGGCGUAAUGGUCAUCAGCGACCCGUCUUGAAACACGGACCAAGGAGUCGUCUUCGUAUGCGAGUGUUCGGGUGUCAAACCCCUACGCGGAAUGAAAGUGAACGCAGGUGAGAGCUUCGGCGCAUCAUCGACCGAUCCUGAUGUUCUCGGAUGGAUUUGAGUAAGAGCAUACGGGGCCGGACCCGAAAGAAGGUGAACUAUGCCUGUAUAGGGUGAAGCCAGAGGAAACUCUGGUGGAAGCUCGCAGCGGUUCUGACGUGCGAAUCGAUCGUCAAAUAUGGGCAUGGGGGCGAAAGACUAAUCGAACCUUCUAGUAGCUGGUUUCCGCGAGU
rnacentral:rRNA from 1 species